rnacentral:rRNA from 1 species
CAGCAGCCGCGGUAAUACGUAGGGUGCGAGCGUUAAUCGGAUUUACUGGGCGUAAAGCGUGCGCAGGCGGCCCGUUAAGACAGGUGUGAAAUCCCUGGGCUCAACCUAGGAAUUGCGCUUGUGACUGGCGGGCUCGAGUACGGUAGAGGGGGGUGGAAUUCCUGGUGUAGCAGUGAAAUGCGUAGAGAUCAGGAGGAACACCGAUGGCGAAGGCAGCCCCCUGGGCCUGUACUGACGCUCAUGCACGAAAGCGUGGGGAGCAAACAGGAUUAGAUACCCUGGUAGUCCACGCCCUAAACGAUGGGUACUAGCCGGUUGGUGCGCGAUAGCGCUGAGUGGCGAAGCUAACGCGUGAAGUACCCCGCCUGGGGAGUACGGCCGCAAGGUUGAAACUUAAAGGAAUUGGCGGG